CUCCUGGAAACGGGUGGUAAUGCCGGAUGCUCCGCCCCCUCGCAUGGGGGGUCGGGAAGGCUUUUGCGGAAUGGGAUGGGGUCGCGUCCUAUCAGCUUGUUGGCGGGGCGACGGCCCACCAAGGCUUCGACGGGUAGCCGGCCUGAGAGGGCGACCGGCCACAUUGGGACUGAGAUACGGCCCAGACUCCUACGGGAGGCAGCAGUGGGGAAUAUUGCACAAUGGGGGGAACCCUGAUGCAGCGACGCCGCGUGCGGGAUGGAGGCCUUCGGGUCGUGAACCGCUCUUGAUUGGGAGCAAGCGUGAGUGAGUGUACCUUUCGAAUAAGCACCGGCUAACUACGUGCCAGCAGCCGCGGUAAUACGUAGGGUGCAAGCGUUGUCCGGAAUCAUUGGGCGUAAAGGGCUCGUAGGCGGUUCGUCGCGUCCGGUGUGAAAGCCCAUCGCUUAACGGUGGGUCUGCGCCGGGUACGGGCGGGCUUGAGUGCGGCAGGGGAGGCUGGAAUUCCCGGUGUAACGGUGGAAUGUGUAGAUAUCGGGAAGAACACC
rnacentral:rRNA from 1 species